UACGAAGGGGGCUAGCGUUGUUCGGAAUUACUGGGCGUAAAGGGCGCGUAGGCGGUCGGGCAAGUCCUGUGUGAAAUCCCUCGGCUCAACUGAGGAACUGCACGGGAAACUGCUCGACUUGAGUUCGGGAGAGGGAAGCGGAGUUCCGGGUGUAGCGGUGAAAUGCGUAGAUAUCCGGAGGAACACCUGUGGCGAAAGCGGCCACCUGGACUGCACCUGACGCUGAAACGCGAAAGCUAGGGGAGCGAACGGG
rnacentral:rRNA from 1 species